UACGUAGGGGGCAAGCGUUGUCCGGAAUCAUUGGGCGUAAAGCGCACGUAGGCGGCUUUCUAAGUCAGGGGUGAAAUCCUGGAGCUCAACUCCAGAACUGCCUUUGAUACUGGAGAGCUUGAGUCCGGAAGAGGUGAGUGGAACUCCGAGUGUAGAGGUGAAAUUCGUAGAUAUUCGGAAGAACACCAGUGGCGAAGGCGGCUCACUGGUCCGGUACUGACGCUGAUGUGCGAAAGCGUGGGGAGCAAACAGG
rnacentral:rRNA from 1 species